CUACGGGGGGCUCCAGUGGGGAAUAUUGCACAAUGGGCGCAAGCCUGAUGCAGCCAUGCCGCGUGUAUGAAGAAGGCCUUCGGGUUGUAAAGUACUUUCAGCGGGGAGGAAGGGAGUAAAGUUAAUACCUUUGCUCAUUGACGUUACCCGCAGAAGAAGCACCGGCUAACUCCGUGCCAGCAGCCGCGGUAAUACGGAGGGUGCAAGCGUUAAUCGGAAUUACUGGGCGUAAAGCGCACGCAGGCGGUUUGUUAAGUCAGAUGUGAAAUCCCCGGGCUCAACCUGGGAACUGCAUCUGAUACUGGCAAGCUUGAGUCUCGUAGAGGGGGGUAGAAUUCCAGGUGGAGCGGUGAAAUGCGUAGAGAUCUGGAGGAAUACCGGUGGCGAAGGCGGCCCCCUGGACGAAGACUGACGCUCAGGUGCGAAAGCGUGGGGAGCAAACAGGAUUAGAUACCCUAGUUAGUC
rnacentral:rRNA from 1 species